UGAGAUCACACACGAGUCCCCCU
rnacentral:miRNA from 1 species